rnacentral:rRNA from 1 species
GGGUCAUUAGGUUGGUCGUGCCACCGGUACGUACUGGUCUCACUGAUUCCUCCUUCCUGAAGAACCGUAAUGCCAUUAAUUUGGUUUUGCGGGGAAACAGGACUGUUACUUUGAAAAAAUUAGAGUGUUUAAAGCAAGCUAACGCUUGAAUACAUUAGCAUGGAUUAAUGAAAUAGGACGAUCGAUCCUAUUUUGUUGGUUUCUAGGAUUGACGUA